UUCAUGAUAUGAUGGUGUAAAAUAGGGAACACUUGAAUGUGAACAUAUGAACUAUUGAAAUAAGUGUGAUGAUGAAUGUGAUUCAAAAAUAAAAUAAAUACAACUGUGCUGAUUUGUGACCAUUGAUGUCUUAGGUGGUGCGGUCGGGAUUGGACCAUCAUCAAGACAGGAACGACCCACAGGUGGAGCAGGGACGUCACACCAACGAGAUGUCUAGGAUACCCAAUACACGGGAACCUACUUUUGCAAGGAAUUAAGUAGAUGCAUUCUAAAUCACAAUGUAUUUUGUAGGGAUCAAUGUACUGAAUGUAUAACUUUUAUUAGAUCCUUUUUGUUUAAAAAUUGUGAUGGCUAUUAGAAGUAUAAGAGUGCAAACUCAUGUCCAUGUAUAUAUAUUUUUAAUAUGAACUUCAAAUCAUGCAACCUUAAUAUUAUGUGUUUGUGUAAGAUUCGCU